rnacentral:rRNA from 1 species
CCAGACUCCUACGGGAGGCAGCAGUGGGGAAUAUUGCACAAUGGGGGGAACCCUGAUGCAGCAAUGCCGCGUGGGUGAAGAAGCACUCCGGUGCGUAAAGCCCUGUCAGCAGGGAAGAAAAUGACAGUACCUGGACAAGAAGCCCCGGCUAACUACGUGCCAGCAGCCGCGGUAAUACGUAGGGGGCAAGCGUUAUCCGGAUUUACUGGGUGUAAAGGGAGCGCAGGCGGCGUGGCAAGUCAGAUGUGAAAACCCGGGGCCCAACCCCGGGAGUGCAUUUGAAACUGCCAUGCUGGAGUGCCGGAGAGGUAAGCGGAAUUCCUAGUGUAGCGGUGAAAUGCGUAGAUAUUAGGAGGAACACCAGUGGCGGAGGCGGCUUACUGGACGGUAACUGACGCUGAGGCUCGAAAGCGUGGGGAGCAAACAGGAUUAGAUACCCGAGUA